rnacentral:rRNA from 1 species
UACGGGGGGAGCAAGCGUUGUUCGGAUUUACUGGGCGUAAAGGGCGCGUAGGCGGUCGUGACAAGUCACUUGUGAAAUCUCCGGGCUUAACUCGGAACGGUCAAGUGAUACUGUCGGACUAGAGUACAGAAGGGGCAACUGGAAUUCUCGGUGUAGCGGUGAAAUGCGUAGAUAUCCGGAGGAACACCAGUGGCGAAGGCGGCCUUCUGGGAUGUUUCUGACGCUCAUACACGAAAGCUAGGGGAGCGAACGGG